GCCUGGCUGGCUCAGCUGGUAGAGCAUGUGACUCUUGAUUUCAGAGUUGUAAGUUAGACCCCUAUGUUGGGUU
rnacentral:tRNA from 1 species